GAUGACGAACGUAGCGAAAUGCGAUAAGUAGUGUGAAUUGCAGAAUUCAGUGAAUCAUCGAAUCUUUGAACGCACAUUGCGCCCCUUGGUAUCCCGAGGGGCAUGCCUGUUCGAGCGUCAUUUCACCACUCAAGCCUGGCUUGGUGUUGGGCGACGUCCCCUUUGGGGACGCGCCUCGAAACGCUCGGCGGCGUGGCACCGGCUUUAAGCGUAGCAGAAUCUUUCGCUUUGGAAGUCGGGGCCCCGUCUGCCGGAAGACCUACUCGCAAGGUUGACCUCGGAUCAGGCAGGGAUACCCGCUGAACUUAAGCAUAUCAAUAAGCGGAGGA
rnacentral:misc_RNA from 1 species